GACGAACGCUGGCGGCGUGCCUAAUACAUGCAAGUAGAACGCUGAAGGAGGAGCUUGCUUCUCUGGAUGAGUUGCGAACGGGUGAGUAACGCGUAGGUAACCUGCCUGGUAGCGGGGGAUAACUAUUGGAAACGAUAGCUAAUACCGCAUAAUAGCAGUUGUUGCAUGACAACUGUUUGAAAGGUGCAAUUGCACCACUACCAGAUGGACCUGCGUUGUAUUAGCUAGUUGGUGGGGUAACGGCUCACCAAGGCGACGAUACAUAGCCGACCUGAGAGGGUGAUCGGCCACACUGGGACUGAGACACGGCCCAGACUCCUACGGGAGGCAGCAGUAGGGAAUCUUCGGCAAUGGACGGAAGUAUGACCGAGCAACGACGCGUGAGUGAAGAAGGUUUUCGGAUCGUAAAGCUCUGUUGUAAGAGAAGAACGAGUGUGAGAGUGGAAAGUUCACAAUGUGACGGUAGCUUACCAGAAAGGGGAGGCUAACUACGAG
rnacentral:rRNA from 1 species